UGGGGAAUAUUGCGCAAUGGGGGGAACCCUGACGCAGCCAUGCCGCGCGAAUGAAGAAGGCCUUAGGGUUGUAAAGUUCUUUCGGUAUUGAGGAAGGUUGGUGUGUUAAUAGCACAUCAAAUUGACGUUAAAUACAGAAGAAGCACCGGCUAACUCCGUGCCAGCAGCCGCGGUAAUACGGAGGGUGCGAGCGUUAAUCGGAAUAACUGGGCGUAAAGGGCACGCAGGCGGUUAUUUAAGUGAGGUGUGAAAGCCCCGGGCUUAACCUGGGAAUUGCAUUUCAGACUGGGUAACUAGAGUACUUUAGGGAGGGGUAGAAUUCCACGUGUAGCGGUGAAAUGCGUAGAGAUGUGGAGGAAUACCGAAGGCGAAGGCAGCCCCUUGGGAAUGUACUGACGCUCAUGUGCGAAAGCGUGGGGAGCAAACAGGAUUAGAUACCCUGGUAGUCCACGCUGUAAACGCUGUCGAUUUGGGGGUUGGGGUUUAACUCUGGCGCCCGUAGCUAACGUGAUAAAUCGACCGCCUGGGGAGUACGGCCGCAAGGUUA
rnacentral:rRNA from 1 species